CCCUUAGAUGUUCUGGGCUGCACGCGCGCUACACUGAUGCGUUCAACGAGUUUAUGACCUUGCCCGAUAGGGUUGGGUAAUCUUUUUAAAUCGCAUCGUGAUGGGGAUAGAUUAUUGCAAUUAUUAAUCUUCAACGAGGAAUGCCUAGUAAGCGCAAGUCAUCAGCUUGCGUUGAUUACGUCCCUGCCCUUUGUACACACCGCCCGUCGCUCCUACCGAUUGAAUGGUCCGGUGAAGCGCUCGGACCGCGGCCUCUUGACGGUUCGCUGUCGAUUGGCUGUGGGAAGUUCGUUAAACCUUAUCAUUUAGAGGAAGGAGAAGUCGUAACA
rnacentral:rRNA from 1 species